rnacentral:rRNA from 1 species
UUAGUUGCUGGGUAUAGACCCGAAACCAGGCGAUCUAUCCAUGAGCAGGUUGAAGGUUGGGUAACACUAACUGGAGGACCGAACCCACUGUCGUUGAAAAGCCAGGGGAUGACUUGUGGAUAGGGGUGAAAGGCUAAUCAAGCCUGGUGAUAGCUGGUUCUCCCCGAAAGCUAUUUAGGUAGCGCCUCGGACGAAUACCAUAGGGGGUAGAGCACUGUUUCGGCUAGGGGGUCAUCCCGACUUACCAAACCGAUGCAAACUCCGAAUACCUAUGAGUACUAUCCGGGAGACAGACUGCGGGUGCUAACGUCCGUAGUCAAGAGGAAAACAAUCCAGACCGCCAGCUAAGGCCCCAAAAUCAUAGUUAAGUGGGAAACGAUGUGGGAAGGCAUAGACAGCUAGGAGGUUGGCUUAGAAGCAGCCACCCUUUAAAGAAAGCGUAAUAGCUCACUAGUCGAGUCGGCCUGCGCGGAAGAUGUAACGGGGCUAAAACUAUGUGCCGAAGCUGCGGAUUUGACAUUAGUCAAGUGGUAGGGGAGCGUUCUGUAAGCCGAUGAAGGUGUAUUGAGAAGUAUGCUGGAGGUAUCAGAAGUGCGAAUGCUGACGUGAGUAACGACAAAACGGGUGAAAAACCCGUUCGCCGAAAGACCAAGGGUUCCAGUCCAACGUUAAUCGGGGCUGGGUGAGUCGACCCCUAAGG